rnacentral:rRNA from 1 species
CAGUCGCCGCGGUAAUACGAAGGGUGCAAGCGUUAAUCGGAAUUACUGGGCGUAAAGCGUGUGUAGGUGGUUGUUUAAGUCUGUCGUGAAAGCCCUGGGCUCAACCUGGGAAUUGCGAUGGAUACUGGGCGACUAGAGUGCGGUAGAGGAUAGUGGAAUUUCCGGUGUAGCAGUGAAAUGCGUAGAGAUCGGAAGGAACAUCUGUGGCGAAGGCGACUAUCUGGGCCAACACUGACACUGAGACACGAAAGCGUGGGGAGCAAACAGGAUUAGAUACCCCCGUAGUCCCUGUCUCUUAUAC